rnacentral:tRNA from 1 species
GUCACGGUGUGGCUCAGUGGUAGAGCACUUGCCCAGCAUCCAGCAUGUGAGAGACGCUGGGUUCGAUCCCCAGCACCACA